rnacentral:rRNA from 1 species
CCUACGGGUGGCAGCAGUGGGGAAUAUUGGGCAAUGGGCGCAAGCCUGACCCAGCAACGCCGCGUGAAGGAAGAAGGCUUUCGGGUUGUAAACUUCUGUUGUCAGGGACGAAGCAAGUGACGGUACCUGACGACUAAGCCACGGCUAACUGCGUGCCAGCCGCCGCGGUAAUACGUAGGUGGCAAGCGUUAUCCGUAUUUACUGGGUGUAAAGAGCGUGUAGGCGGGACUGCAAGUCAGAUGUGAAACCCACGGGCUCAACCUGUGGACUGCAUUUGAAACUGUAGUUCUUGAGUACUGGAGAGGCAGAAGGAAUUCCUAGUGUAGCGGUGAAAUGCGUAGAUAGUAGGAGGAAAACCAGUGGCGAAGGCGGUCUGCUGGACAGCAACUGACGCUGAGGCGCGAAAGCGUGGGGAGCAAACAGGAUUAGAUACCCCAGUAGUC